CAAAUCUUAAAAUGCCAGUCAAAAUAUCAGAUCGCUGCAUCCUUAUUUUGGAUGGUUUUUUUGACCUAAAUAUAUUUGACAUGUAAAUGAAAUUCAGUUUUUAAUAAUCAAGUGUGUGGAGCAGCAGUGACUGCCUCUGAUGAACACAUCAUCCAAGCAACAGCAAUGGGAGACAUGUCAGGAAUGAAUGCUGGCCAGGGAAGUGUUUGUAUAUGCUCCUGAUCCAGAAAGACCUGCGCUACUCUCGCAUCUGUCCUGCUGAAACAGCUCAAGUACAGUGUGUACGUCUGAGUGUGUUGUCAUGCGACUCUGUUGCAUGCGGUCUGCAACCUGGAAGCAUCAUGGAGGAAAACUCGAACAUGGAGCCGACUGCUUAACUCAAACAGCUUGUGCCAAAUAAAGUUGCUG